GGGCCCGCACAAGCGGUGGAGUAUGUGGUUUAAUUCGAUGCAACGCGAAGAACCUUACCAGGGUUUGACAUCCUGCGAAUCUCUUGGGAAACGAGAGAGUGCCUUCGGGAGCGCAGUGACAGGUGGUGCAUGGCUGUCGUCAGCUCGUGUCGUGAGAUGUUGGUUAAGUCCCGCAACGAGCGCAACCCACGUCUUUAGUUGCCAGCAUUUAGUUGGGCACUCUAGAGAGACUGCCGGUGAUAAACCGGAGGAAGGUGUGGAUGACGUCAAGUCAUCAUGCCCCUUACAUCCUGGGCUACACACGUACUACAAUGCUACGGACAAAGGGCCAGCAAGUUCGCGAGGACAAG
rnacentral:rRNA from 1 species